AGUCACAUGAUAAGCAUAGAGCAAACUAUUCUUUCGCCUUUCACUAAAGAAUAUCAUGUGCUUAUUGCAAAUAGUGGCAUAGGCUAAUUUUUGGAGGGUUCGCCUUUAAAAUGCGGGCC